GGGUUGUGAGGUUAAGCGACUAAGCGUACACGGUGGAUGCCCUGGCAGUCAGAGGCGAUGAAGGGCGUGCUAAUCUGCGAUAAGCGCCGGUAAGGUGAUAUGAACCGUUAUAACCGGCGAUACCCGAAUGGGGAAACCCAGUGUGACUCGUCACACUAUCAUUAACUGAAUCCAUAGGUUAAUGAGGCGAACCGGGGGAACUGAAACAUCUAAGUACCCCGAGGAAAAGAAAUCAACCGAGAUUCCCCCAGUAGCGGCGAGCGAACGGGGAGGAGCCCAGAGCCUGAAUCAGCAUGUGUGUUAGUGGAAGCGUCUGGAAAGGCGCGCGAUACAGGGUGACAGCCCCGUACACAAAAGCGCAUGUGCUGUGAGCUCGAUGAGUAGGGCGGGACACGUGGUAUCCUGUCUGAAUAUGGGGGGACCAUCCUCCAAGGCUAAAUACUCCUGACUGACCGAUAGUGAACCAGUACCGUGAGGGAAAGGCGAAAAGAACCCCGGCGAGGGGAGUGAAAAAGAACCUGAAACCGUGUACGUACAAGCAGUGGGAGCCCCACCACCAAAGCAUUCUCUGGUGUUGAAGGCCCUGCAAAGCAGCAUCGCGGUGGCGGAGCGUCGUUUGCGACGCCCAACACACAAAACAAGCGGUGAGUGCUUUGGGGUGGGGUGACUGCGUACCUUUUGUAUAAUGGGUCAGCGACUUAUAUUCUGUAGCAAGGUUAACCGAAUAGGGGAGCCGGAGGGAAACCGAGUCUUAAUUGGGCGUUAAGUUGCAGGGUAUAGACCCGAAACCCGGUGAUCUAGCCAUGGGCAGGUUGAAGGUUGGGUAACACUAACUGGAGGACCGAACCGACUAAUGUUGAAAAAUUAGCGGAUGACCUGUGGCUGGGGGUGAAAGGCCAAUCAAACCGGGAGAUAGCUGGUUCUCCCCGAAAGCUAUUUAGGUAGCGCCUCGUGAAUUCAUCUCCGGGGGUAGAGCACUGUUUCGGCUAGGGGGCCAUCCCGGCUUACCAACCCGAUGCAAACUGCGAAUACCGGAGAAUGUUAUCACGGGAGACACACGGCGGGUGCUAACGUCCGUCGUGAAGAGGGAAACAACCCAGACCGCCAGCUAAGGUCCCAAAGUCAUGGUUAAGUGGGAAACGAUGUGGGAAGGCCCAGACAGCCAGGAUGUUGGCUUAGAAGCAGCCAUCAUUUAAAGAAAGCGUAAUAGCUCACUGGUCGAGUCGGCCUGCGCGGAAGAUGUAACGGGGCUAAACCAUGCACCGAAGCUGCGGCAGCGAACGUAUCACUUAAAGCGAUUCAGCGGGUUACGAUUGACGGAGCGAAGCGACGUCAAAGCGUAUACAAAGUCGAGUCGGUUUAAGGAUACGUUCGUUGGGUAGGGGAGCGUUCUGUAAGCCUGCGAAGGUGGCCUGUGAGGGUUGCUGGAGGUAUCAGAAGUGCGAAUGCUGACAUAAGUAACGAUAAAGCGGGUGAAAAGCCCGCUCGCCGGAAGACCAAGGGUUCCUGUCCAACGUUAAUCGGGGCAGGGUGAGUCGACCCCUAAGGCGAGGCCGAAAGGCGUAGUCGAUGGGAAACGGGUUAAUAUUCCCGUACUUGGUGUUACUGCGAAGGGGGGACGGAGAAGGCUAUGUUGGCCGGGCGACGGUUGUCCCGGUUUAAGCGUGUAGGUGUGUGUUCCAGGUAAAUCCGGUUCACUUUAACACUGAGGCGUGAUGACGAGGCACUACGGUGCUGAAGCAACAAAUGCCCUGCUUCCAGGAAAAGCCUCUAAGCAUCAGGUAACAUCAAAUCGUACCCCAAACCGACACAGGUGGUCAGGUAGAGAAUACCAAGGCGCUUGAGAGAACUCGGGUGAAGGAACUAGGCAAAAUGGUGCCGUAACUUCGGGAGAAGGCACGCUGACACGUAGGUGAAGUGAUUUACUCAUGGAGCUGAAGUCAGUCGAAGAUACCAGCUGGCUGCAACUGUUUAUUAAAAACACAGCACUGUGCAAACACGAAAGUGGACGUAUACGGUGUGACGCCUGCCCGGUGCCGGAAGGUUAAUUGAUGGGGUCAGCGCAAGCGAAGCUCCUGAUCGAAGCCCCGGUAAACGGCGGCCGUAACUAUAACGGUCCUAAGGUAGCGAAAUUCCUUGUCGGGUAAGUUCCGACCUGCACGAAUGGCGUAAUGAUGGCCAGGCUGUCUCCACCCGAGACUCAGUGAAAUUGAACUCGCUGUGAAGAUGCAGUGUACCCGCGGCAAGACGGAAAGACCCCGUGAACCUUUACUAUAGCUUGACACUGAACAUUGAGCCUUGAUGUGUAGGAUAGGUGGGAGGCUUUGAAGUGUGGACGCCAGUCUGCAUGGAGCCGACCUUGAAAUACCACCCUUUAAUGUUUGAUGUUCUAACGUGGACCCGUAAUCCGGGUUGCGGACAGUGUCUGGUGGGUAGUUUGACUGGGGCGGUCUCCUCCUAAAGAGUAACGGAGGAGCACGAAGGUUGGCUAAUCCUGGUCGGACAUCAGGAGGUUAGUGCAAUGGCAUAAGCCAGCUUGACUGCGAGCGUGACGGCGCGAGCAGGUGCGAAAGCAGGUCAUAGUGAUCCGGUGGUUCUGAAUGGAAGGGCCAUCGCUCAACGGAUAAAAGGUACUCCGGGGAUAACAGGCUGAUACCGCCCAAGAGUUCAUAUCGACGGCGGUGUUUGGCACCUCGAUGUCGGCUCAUCACAUCCUGGGGCUGAAGUAGGUCCCAAGGGUAUGGCUGUUCGCCAUUUAAAGUGGUACGCGAGCUGGGUUUAGAACGUCGUGAGACAGUUCGGUCCCUAUCUGCCGUGGGCGCUGGAGAACUGAGGGGGGCUGCUCCUAGUACGAGAGGACCGGAGUGGACGCAUCACUGGUGUUCGGGUUGUCAUGCCAAUGGCACUGCCCGGUAGCUAAAUGCGGAAGAGAUAAGUGCUGAAAGCAUCUAAGCACGAAACUUGCCCCGAGAUGAGUUCUCCCUGAGACUUAGAGUCUCCUGAAGGAACGUUGAAGACGACGACGUUGAUAGGCCGGGUGUGUAAGCGCAGCGAUGCGUUGAGCUAACCGGUACUAAUGAACCGUGAGGCUUAACCUUACAACGCCGAAG
rnacentral:rRNA from 1 species